rnacentral:rRNA from 1 species
CCUACGGGGGGCUGCAGUGAGGGAUAUUGGUCAAUGGGGGAAACCCUGAACCAGCAACGCCGCGUGAGGGAAGACGGUUUUCGGAUUGUAAACCUCUGUUCUCUGUGAAGAUAAUGACGGUAGCAGAGGAGGAAGCUCCGGCUAACUACGUGACAGCAGCCGAGGUAAUACGUAGGGAGCAAGCGUUGUCCGGAUUUACUGGGUGUAAAGGGUGCGUAGGCGGGCUUGAAAGUCAGGAGGGAAAACCAUGGGCUUAACCCGUGAACUGCUUUUGAUACUGUAGGGCUUGAGUGAAGUAGGGGCGAGCGGAAUGCCCGGUGUAGCGGUGAAAUGCGUAGAGAUCGGGAGGAACACCAGUGGCGAAGGCGGCCUGCUGGGCUGUAACUGACGCUGAAGCACGAAAGCGUGGGUAGCAAACAGGAUUAGAUACCCGAGUAGUC